rnacentral:piRNA from 1 species
UGCUUGCUUUCCCUGCCUCUGGGCAGCUCUG